AGUCUACGGGAGGCAGCAGUGGGGAAUAUUGCGCAAUGGGGGCAACCCUGACGCAGCCAUGCCGCGUGCACGAAGAAGGUUUUCGGAUUGUAAAGUGCUUUCAGCAGGGAAGAAGGAAGUGACGGUACCUGCAGAAGAAGCGACGGCUAAAUACGUGCCAGCAGCCGCGGUAAUGACU
rnacentral:rRNA from 1 species